AUGUGGAAAAUCACAUGCUCACUUGUCUCGCCGACAUUACACAAAUCGCAGCGGAUAAUAUCGC
rnacentral:tRNA from 1 species